rnacentral:rRNA from 1 species
GGCGGACGGGUGCGUAACACGUGGGUAAUCUACCUUCCGGCGGGGGACAACAGUCCGAAAGGAUUGCUAAUACCGCAUACGUCAGCGGCGCCUACGGGCGCUGUUGGGAAAGAUGGCCUCUCCUUGGAAGCUACCACCGGAAGAUGAGCCCGCGCCCCAUCAGCUAGUUGGUGAGGUAAUGGCUCACCAAGGCUAAGACGGGUAGCUGGUCUGAGAGGAUGAUCAGCCACACUGGGACUGCGACACGGCCCAGACUCCUACGGGAGGCAGCAGUGGGGAAUAUUGGGCAAUGGGCGAAAGCCUGACCCAGCCACGCCGCGUGAGUGAUGAAGGCCUUCGGGUCGUAAAGCUCUGUGGGGAGGGACGAACAAAUCUGGGGCUAAUCACCCGGGUCCUGACGGUACCUCCUUAGCAAGCACCGGCUAACCCUGUGCCAGCAGCCGC